rnacentral:rRNA from 1 species
UAGGGAAUCUUCGGCAAUGGGGGGAACCCUGACCGAGCAACGCCGCGUGAGUGAAGAAGGUUUUCGGAUCGUAAAGCUCUGUUGUUAAGGAAGAACGAGUGUGAGAAUGGAAAGUUCAUGCUGUGACGGUACAUAACCAGAAAGGGACGGCUAACUACGUGCCAGCAGCCGCGGUAAUACGUAGGUCCCGAGCGUUGUCCGGAUUUAUUGGGCGUAAAGCGAGCGCAGGCGGUUAGAAAAGUCUGAAGUGAAAGGCAGUGGCUCAACCAUUGUAGGCUUUGGAAACUGUUUAACUUGAGUGCAGAAGGGAGAGUGGAAUUCCAUGUGUAACGGUGAAAUGCGUAGAUAUAUGGAGGAACACCGGUGGCGAAAGCGGCUCUCUGGUCUGUAACUGACGCUGAGGCUCGAAAGCGUGGGGAGCGAACAGG